rnacentral:tRNA from 1 species
GGGGUUGUAGUUAAACAUAACAUUUGGGUUGCAUCCAAAAAGUACUGCAAAGUCUACCUUA